AUACGAAGGGGGCUAGCGCUGUUCGGAAUCACUGGGCGUAAAGCGCGCGUAGGUGGAUCAAUUAGUUGAGGGUGAAAUCCCGGGGCUCAACCUCGGAACUGCCUUCAAUACUGUUGAUCUUGAGACCGAGAGAGGUGAGUGGAAUUCCUAGUGUAGAGGUGAAAUUCGUAGAUAUUAGGAAGAACACCAGUGGCGAAGGCGGCUCACUGGCUCGGUACUGACGCUGAGGUGCGAAAGCGUGGGGAGCAAACAGGAUUAGAUACCCCAGUAGUCC
rnacentral:rRNA from 1 species